GCUCCUGUGGCCUAGUAGGUAGAGCGUCCGCCCCGGAUGCGGAAGGUCGUGGGUUCGAUUCCCGGUCAAGAUAUAACA